GUACUAAUGAUCUCUUAUAGAGUAAGAAUUACAAUUUUAUUUAAUAUUUGUUUUUACUUAUUAAUCACAAAUUUACAUUAUUUGUAUUAUAAAGUAUCAGACAGAACUUUAUCUCAAUUUUAGUUUUUAUAAACUUAAAAUUAGUAUUUAAUUGUUCCUUAUAGCUACCUUUGGUAUCAUGAACAUACAAGAAAUGCACAUGAUCUAUAUUUCCCGAAAUUAAAAGAUCUACUUUUUAACAUAAAUUACUGUAGCAAUAGUAAUUAUAAUAAAUAGUAGUUAUGAAAACUUAAUCGAUUUUAAUUAUACCUGGUUUCAAUCUAAAUAAUAUAAAAUAAUAACUAUUAAUUAGUUAAUAAAUUACUUGGUUAAGCUAAGUACAUUUGAGUUAACUAUUUUUUACUUAAUACAGAAUUAGAUUUAAAAGUAAUCUAUAUUUAGUGUCAUUAUAGCUAUCUAUUCUAUAUAUCUAAAUCUUAAUAAUAUACUCUUUAGAGAUUGAAUUUAGGAAUAAUCUUUUUCCUAAUUUAUAAUGUAUGUAUUAUUAGUUAUAAAUAUAAAAUAUUUUAAUCUUACAAUAUGAAAUCAGAAUUCGGCUUUUUUUCUACAACUGUUUAUUAAAAACUCACAGCUUUGAGAUGUAUUCAAAGUAUCUUCUGCCCACUGAUUAWUUGAAUGGCCGCAGUACUCUGACUGUGCUAUAUCUUCUGCCCACUGAUUAAUUGAAUGGCCGCAGUACUCUGACUGUGCUAAGGUAGCGUGAUUCUUGUUUUCUUAAUUAGAAAUCUGUUCAAAGAAUGAUAUGUGGAAAAUCUAUUGUUUUCAUACUUAAAUAAACUUAAAUUGUUAGUGAAAAUUCUGACUAGCUCUUAAAAGACGAGAAGACCCCAUAAAACUUAAUUUAANNACUUACUUUUUAUUUUUUCAAGGAUUUAAAUGGGGACUUUAGAGUAAAAUAAUAACUUGUUGACCUAUAAAUUUAAUAACUGAGAAGCUACUUUGGGGAUAACAGGGUGAGAUAUAUUAAAAGCACUUACUUUUUAUUUUUUCAAAUUUAAAUGGGGACUUUAGAGUAAAAUAAUAACUUGUUGACCUAUAAAUUUAAUAACUGAGAAGCUACUUUGGGGAUAACAGGGUGAGAUAUUUAAAGAGUUCUUAUCGAUAAAUAUAAUUACUACCUCGAUGUUGGAUUAUCUUUUCAUAUAUAUUGUAGCAGUAUAUAUUGUUAGUCUGUUCGACUAUUAAAAAGUUACAUGAUCUGAGUUUAAACCGUUGNAAGACAGGUUGGAUUUUAUCUUUAAUAUUAUAUUUAAAUUUGUUAGUACGAAAGGAAUUCAAAUUUGCAAUAUAAUAGCUAAA
rnacentral:rRNA from 1 species